GACGAACGCUGGCGGCGUGCUUAACACAUGCAAGUCGAACGGAAAGGCCCUGCUUUUGUGGGGUGCUCGAGUGGCGGACGGGUGAGUAACACGUGAGUAACCUGCCCUUGCCUUUGGGAUUCCUUCAGGAAACUGGGGCUACUACCGGAUAGGAGUUCCUGCUGCAUGGUGGGGGUUGGAAAGUUUCGGCGGUUGGGGAUGGACUCGCGGCUUAUCAGCUUGUUGGUGGGGUAGUGGCUUACCAAGGCUUUGACGGGUAGCCGGCCUGAGAGGGUGACCGGCCACAUUGGGACUGAGAUACGGCCCAGACUCCUACGGGAGGCAGCAGUGGGGAAUAUUGCACAAUGGGCGGAAGCCUGAUGCAGCAACGCCGCGUGCGGGAUGACGGCCUUCGGGUUGUAAACCGCUUUCGCCUGGGACGAAGCGUGAGUGACGGUAAUGGGAAAAGAAGCACCGGCUAACUACGUG
rnacentral:rRNA from 1 species